rnacentral:misc_RNA from 1 species
UUAUUUAUUUGUUUGUUUUCAGACAGCAAUGAUAGAGAAUUUAAAAUCCUUUGGCGAGCACUUGCCGACGAAUCGACACGUUCUGGACAGAGCAUGGCUCGCCAAAGCAACAGAGAUAUGUAGACAGAGGGUGAAGAGUAGGGCCGAAACCCCGGAGAGCGGACUCUCCUUCUCUUUAAUGAUCCUUCCGCAGGUUCACCUACGGAAA